rnacentral:lncRNA from 1 species
ACCGUUCUUCAGGAACUUGGGCUCCUUCUCGAGCUCCUUGCCAGAUCGUCUGUCAAUCUUGGUAACAAGCUCGGCAAACUUGACAGCAAUGUGUGAGGUGUGGCAGUCCAGCACUGGGGCGUAGCCAUUGCCGAUCUGGCCAGGGUGGUUCAUGAUGAUGACCUGGGAGGUGAAGUUGGCAGCCUCCUUGGCAGGGUCAUCCUUGGAGUUGGAGGCCACGUACCCACGCUUGAGAUCCUUCACAGCAACGUUCUUCACGUUGAAGCCAACAUUGUCACCGGGAAGGGCCUCCUGGAGCGCCUCAUGGUGCAUCUCAACAGACUUCACCUCAGUGGUCAGGCCGCUGGGACCAAAGGUGACAAGCAUACCAGGCUUGAUGACACCAGUCUCUACACGACCAACAGGCACAGUUCCAAUACCACCAAUCUUGUACACAUCCUGAAGGGGGAGACGCAGGGGCUUGUCCGAAGGCCUCUUUGGCUCAUUGAUCAAGUCAAGAGCCUCAAGCAGUGUUGGGCCCUUGUACCAGUCCAGGUUGGUGGACCUCUCAAUCAUGUUGUCGCCCUCGAAACCAGAGAUGGGAACAAAGUGAAUCUUGUCAGGGUUGUAUCCAACCUUCUUGAGGUACGAAGAGACUUCCUUCACAAUCUCAUCAUAGCGGGCCUUCGAGUACUUGGGUGUGGUGGCAUCCAUCUGUACAAAACAAAGCAUUACAAUUAGCCAAAAAGAGAUGUGUCAAACAUCAACAGCAAUAGAUACAAAUGAAAGCAUGUAAACAAGAAGCUCCUAGCAUGUAUCUCACCCUCAUUCACCUUGUUUUACAAGUAAGCUACUCACACUGGAACAGGAAUAAAGCAGGCAAUAGUGUCGAAAAACAAAAAAUAAACUAUCAUCAUGCAAAACAGUGAGGCCAUACCUUGUUGCAGCAGCAGAUCAUCUGCUUCACUCCAAGAGUGAAAGCAAGCAGAGCAUGCUCACGGGUCUGGCCAUCCUUGGAGAUACCAGCCUCAAAACCACCAGUGGUGGAGUCAAUGAUGAGGACAGCACAGUCAGCCUGGGAGGUACCGGUAAUCAUGUUCUUGAUGAAGUCACGGUGACCGGGGGCAUCAAUGACCGUGCAGUAGUACUUGGUGGUCUCGAAUUUCCACAGGGCAAUGUCGAUGGUGAUACCUCUCUCACGCUCAGCCUUGAGCUUGUCAAGCACCCACGCAUACUUGAAGGACCUCUUGUUCAUUUCUGCGGCCUCCUUCUCGAACCUCUCGAUCACACGCUUGUCAAUACCUCCAAGCUUGUAGAUCAGGUGGCCAGUGGUGGUCGAUUUGCCAGAGUCGACAUGGCCAAUGACCACGAUGUUAAUGUGAGACUUCUCCUUGCCCAUGGCUACAAGUAGAGCUUAACCUGCAGUUUUAAGAUUCAAAAAUAUUAACAUGCAGUUUUAAGAUUCAAAAUAUCAAAAUAUAAAUCAGUGAACAGACCACAUAUCCAGUCAAGUAGACCAAGCAGAGGUCACCAUCCAAGAGAGGAGAUACUACUGUUCAUUAACUACAUCUACCUCUACACUGAUGCCCUAAUUAAACAAGGCCCUCGAUAACAGUUAACAGGACAUGCUUUUUGUUUUAUUGAAUUUCAUUUUACACAAUAAAUUGCAUUCAAUUUACAUUACAGAAUACAUCAAAACUAACUGAAUCAAACCAAAGGAUACAGAGUAAAAUCUACUAAAAGUAUCACCAAAAAUGUAAUUUCAUCAACUUCCAAAUAUUUUGUAUAUACUUUUAUGAUUUGUAUCCAGCAAAAUUGUAAGGUCUAAUGACAUAACAGACCCUGUAUUCCCAAUUUACCUCAGAGAAGAAGAGAAAUUCUUGUUUAGGGAACAUGAAUAGGGAAAAAAAAGCCGACUAUCGGAUUUGAACCGAUGACCCUCGCAUUACAAAUGCGAUGCUCUAACCUCUGAGCUAAGUGGGCUUUAUCAACAGAUAUAGUGUACAUCAACAUAUUAUAACAGCAUAGAUAAACAAAAAAUGGUCAAUUGUGGAGACUCAUGAACAUCUAUCAAAUAUCGAAUUAAUUGUGCCAAAUAAUUCGAGUCCUGUGUGCAAGAUGGAACACCAUGGAUUCACUGUUUUAAAUAAGAUGUAACGACAGGCCCUCGCACUAGUAUAGCAGAACUGAAAUUUAAUAGCAAAGUAGCCAACAUAGCAGGACUAGGCGAUAGUGAACUCGCAUAACUACUAGCGAGCCCAUGUAGAACACGGGCAAACAUCAAAGUGGGACACGGAGAAAUAAGACCCAGGAACAAAUCAACGGAAAUACCAUGCAUCUAAAGAGAAGCACCUAAAACUGGUAGCGUUAUACCUCCUGAGCAGGAAGGAUGUGCACAGGAUCAGGAUCCUCGAUCGCAAAAGCUAACCGGGAUGAUGGAUAUGUAGACAGUAGACUCACCUCGAGGAGAAGAGGGGAACGAGAGGCGGCGGCUGCAGGGGAAGAAGGGGGCGAGGGUUGUUUGGACAGCAGAAUGCUCCGUUAUAUAGGCAGCGGCGGGAGCUAGGGUUCCACCUGGAGGACCGAUCCGCUUCUGGUGACCGUCGAUGCGAAGAAUCCGGUCUGUUGGCGACACUAGGCCGGUUAGAUUUUUAGUAAAAUUUCGUAGGGCUCAAGUUGCUCCCUUCUCGCACGAAAUUGGCACUACUGGUCUACCGCAUUUCUUUAUUCACGGAGAAAAACUGAUUGAGCGUUUUUUUUUCUCUACAUCUGCUGCUUAAAAUACUUACUAGAUACGCGCACUUCGCCGCGCCGCUCAUAAAAAUUAUGAAAAAGCUCACCUAUUAGUUUUGUCCACCUCCGAAUAAAAUAUAGAUUCCCUUUACUUUAUAAAUUAUUUCAUUUGGUCCAAUCUAUCCUCUAAUUUUUUUUAUUUCUCCAUGUACAGGCUGAAUUUGAGUUCAAAUUUUGUAAGCAGAUACAAAAUAUGAUAUCUUAUGUUAAAAAAUUAUACUAAAUUUUUUCAUGGUUAUUUUCAUAGAUUAGGUAUAUUUAAUACGAAAUUAAUCUUAGGUAUAUAAAACUAUACAAAAAAUAAUCAUGAAAAAUUGCUAAUAUAUUUUCCUAACAUAGAGCAUUGUGUUAUAAUCCAACUAGCAAAAUCUAAAAUUAAAACUCAACUUGCACGAAAAAAAGAGGAAAAUCUUAUUAGAGGUAGAUUGGACCAAAUGAAAUAGUUCGUGGGAGUAAAGUAAGUCUAAAUUUUGCUUAGUGGGUUAAGUGGACAAAGUAAAUAGGUGAUGGAAGUAAAAUUGACUUUUUCCUAAAAAUUAUAUAAAAAGGUUAUGCAAAUAAUGUGUAAGAAGUUUGUAUAAAAAAUUUGUAUAGCAAAGAAGUAAAAGUUUUGAAAAUGAAAAUAAAAACUCAAACAAAAAUUUCAACGGAAAAAUUGCAUAAAAAUUAGAGAACAUUUGGGAAAGCAACAUUUUUAUAAUUGAAAUCCAAAAAAUGAAAGAAAAAUAUUGGAGACAAAAAUUGGAAAAAGAAAUUCCGAAAUGAAAGAAUAGGAACACAGAUUUUGCCAAAAAAAAAAAGAGGGGGGAAAAUAAUACGUAUGCGGAGGCCCUCGUCACUCACGCGCCGCUUCGGCUUCGCCGAGUCUUCUGCGCGCUCCCCUGGACUGCGGGCCCGAGUUCAUCGGAGCCGCCUCGCCUUCACCUGGGGCCACGCCUUCGCAUGGGCUACAGGCCCAAGUUCAUCCGCGCGGCUCCUCGACUGUCGCCGGGCUGCCGCACCGCCCGCUGGUCGUCGCUCGGACGGUGUUCUGGCUGAGCAUCUGAUUUGAGGAGCAGGUGAAAAGGUACAAAAAUUCAAAGGAAAGAAAGGAAAACGGAGGAGUUUUGGGUUCCCGUCAGUUCUCGUCCUUUCAAGAUGCAACAGUUCCGACUUGGACCCAUCUGUCAGUGUCUACGAAUUGUCUACAGUAACUCGAGGCCCUAUCGUCCAGGCCGGGGUUGUCUACAAUACUCGAGGCCCUAUCGUCCAGGCCAGGGGUGCAUGGAUUCUGUUGCUAACUUUAACAGCAUCACAUUGGAUGUUCGAUGCUAAUUAGAAAGAUUAAAUAUGAAUUAAUUAUAAAACUAAUUGCAAAAUCCUGUGCUAAUUCGCGAGAUGAAUCUAUUAAGCCUAAUUAAUCUGUCAUUAGCAAAUGAUUACUGUAACACCACAUUAGCAAAUCAUGGACUAAUUAGGUUUAAUAGAUUCGUCUCGCGAAUUAGACUCCAUCUGUGCAAUUAGUUUUAUAAUUAGCCUAUAUUUAAUAUUCCUAAUUAGCAUCCAAACAUCAUAUGUUUGAUAUUACUAAUUAGCAUCCAAAUAUCCGAUGUGACAGGUGCUAAAUUUUAGUAGGGUGUAUCCAAACAUCCUUUAAGUACAUGUCUACUUUCUUUAAAGUCAAAUAAAUUCUCAGUCCAUUUCUGGUGAUCCUCGUUUCAUCCCAAACCAACAUUAUCCGGGUCGCAACAAUCUGAUUGUUGAUAUCCUCCCACAUAUGCCAUCUAACUAUAUUGCUAAGUUGACCAUGGUCAUCUUUAUCAUCCACCUCAUCCCCGCUGGCCGCUUGACUACCGCACCUCGCUUCACCUCGUGUGCCACUACCAUUCUAAAGCUAUAGUGCCUCUGCCAACAUCUUUAUUGCCCCUGUGCGACCCUGCCUCCUUCCUCCCUGGUAGCAGGUAGCGUCGAUGCUGCCUUGCCACACUCCUUGCCAUAUCUACCCUCCACCUUAUCUUCUUCUUCCCCGUUUCUUUUCUUUUCUUUCCUUUCACUCAUCUUCUUCACCGGAUCUCCGAUCUGCACUAGUGUCCACCUUCUCCGCCACCACCCCACGUGCCAUCUCCCCCUCGUAGCUAAUAGCGCCACAGCUAUCCUCCACGCUCACGCGGGUCGCUUCCACCCAUCGUGGUCGGCAGCGACCUCGCCGCCCACGAACCACCCCUGCAACCUCCACCCUACCCUUCCGAACAAAUCUAGCGUCCACCACCCCCUGCCACCAGCAUAGGCCACACGUUGUCCUUCGCAUCCCGACCAGGGGCAACAAUCUUGUGGCCCGGCCUCGACGCCGGACAACCUGCUAGCACCAUCGAGCCGCCACCGCCCUAGGCCCUCCUUUUAAGUCCACCAGCCACGGAUCAACUCGACAAUCCCUGACCUGAAAGCCCUAACCCUUUUCUUCUUCUUCUCCAGCUUCAACUUCGAGCAGUGACGCGCUUCUAAUAGCGUCAUGACAACGUGUUCUCUCCUAUCGUUUGCGGUGAGUGCACGCUAUCUAAGGAUUUUGAGGGAUAUGUUAUCACAGACAACUUUGUAUGAAUGAAGCAGAAAUGGCAAGAUGCAUGUCAUCGAGGAAUACUCACAUUGUUGCCCCGUGUCGCUCUCUCUAGAACGUAACAUGGGUCGCCACAACCCUACCCCCUACCUCUACCACACGUUUUGCCACCGCCAGAGUUCAUCGUAGGAAGUCCAUGUGGCUAUUUUGAGGAUAGCAUCGGCUAGGCGAAUUGAUCUAUGUUGGGUUGUGUGGGGCCGGAUCUGGAGGUCGUGCGUCCACCCUCGACAUCAAUUGAGCGCAGGUCAGUGGUGCUGGCACGCUUGACAGAUGGUCCACGUGAGGGCAAGAAGGCAUGCGGUUUGGGAUGGGCGAUUGGGCGGCAAUGCCGCUCAGGCCAAGCGACAUCACUGCGAUUGGUGGUUGUAGGUCACGUGUGGUGGUGGGCAGCCAUUGUCCGUGCGUGGUAGCUGGGAUGCCCGUGGGCAUGGGUGCUGCUAGCGCUGCACAAAGGUGAGGUGGUGGCACGUAAGACUGGUGCCGAAUGGGUGAAGUUGGGUUCCGGUGGCAGAAACGUCGUGUGGCGAGGUGGAUUUUGCGGCGCAGGCACACGGAGAUGCCCAGGCGGCAGUGGGAGUGGAGGCAGUUGUGCACGGGUAAAGUUGGGGUGGCUCGGGCCCACGCGAUGGCCCGCUUGGCAGCGUCGUGGUGGUGUCGCCAAUGGUGCACGUCAGCAGCAUCAUAUGGUGGUGGGAUUGGCGACGCCAGGGGUGGGGACGUUAAUAGGGGCAACGGAGCCGGUGGUGGCUGAAUGGCGUAGGAUGCCUACCUUGGUACGGCGGUUGCACCUUGUAUUGUGAGCGUGGUGCGGGACACCCGCAGCAUGCGGAGUUGUUGCCUGUAGCUGGGGUGCACGCGACGGAGCCUAGUGUUUGCCGAGAUGCCUACGGUGCUCCACAAACGGUCGACUGCAACGUGUGCAACUCUUUGUGUGAGGACGGCAUGCUGCAGCUUUGAUGGUGCUAUCUUCUAUGAAAAUCAUGUCCAUAAUGGAUGGACAGCAUUGGUAUUCAUGCGAUUGCGCUCUCCUUGGAGGCGCAUCUACGGAAGUUCCCCUUCAUCACAUCUUAUUGGCGGCAAUCAGCAACCACUCGCACGUCGGGUUCGCUUCUUGCACCAGUCCACGGCGGGUAGCCCCGCAUGGUGGGGGUUAGUCUAGUGCAAAACAGCAUUGACAGACAGCGCAAGCGGCAACGAUGGCAUCGCAACCACAUGGCUUGCAGCGGUCCGUGACGAUCAAUCCUGCAUGGUAGCGAUCGGCUUGGUGCUACACACCGUCGGGUGCCACUGCACAAGAGGUGACGAUAACGUGUCGACAUGUAUAUUCCUAUUGGUUAUAUUGGCUGAUUUGGAGUCUAUCUUCUUUUGAAUAUAAUCAGUUCUUUUGAAUAUAAUCAGCAGGUCUUCCUUCUAUCCUGUGCAUGAAAAAAAAGCUGAAAAAGCAGGUGAAGUUCAAGCUGGUUGAGGCAUAUGCCAUCGGAAAAAAAAUCAGUUCUCUUACGCGCUACUUUUUUUUAAAAAAAAAUCCCCUCCAUGCCUUCCUUUGAUCCCCUACAAGCCACUUCCGUUAUAUUGGUGUUGUGCAGUUAAAUGAUAAUAUACAGUGAGAUGUGCAGAAGAUUUUGCCCCAGAACGAUAUAAAGCAGGUUUUGGCUGUCUCCAUUUCAUUCCAUUACAGUGAGGUGCUUCAAUCCCAAUAAAUCAUGUAUUCUCGCCAAGCUACUGCUCAAAUCCAAGAUGUGGUGUUGGCUUUGGUGAAACUAGAAAACUAACCUAUCAUCCCACGAAUAGAUUAACCAUCCACGGCAAUCUUUUCUGCCAGCCUUGGAUUUGAUUUAUUCAUAACAGAACAUGACCCUGCCAGUUCCACCACGACAUGCUGAACCACUCAGCAAAAAUGCUUCACUAUAAUCGCACAAAUUGCAGAUAAUCCAGAAAAGCAUUCGGCUGAACAGUUCACAAAACCUUCCGAAUCCCUAAACAAGCCUGAAAAUAAUAAGCAACUGUGCUGAAUGCAAAGGAAAAACACAUCCAGCAUGGAACUAUAGAUAACAUGAAUUCAUAAGGAAUCAAAUUUCACAGCCAAUAGAAACGCAGUAUAUCAUUCACCCAUUGCAUUCAGAAUCAUAAUAAGUACUUCAAAGACACAAAAGAGGUAUACCACGUUCAAGACUUAGAUCAACACUACUGGAUAAUUGGAGCAAACUAUCAAACGCCUCAUUUCUUCUUGGCAGCAGCCUUGGUAACCUUGGCACCGGUGGGGUCCUUCUUCUCCACGCUCUUGAUGACACCAACAGCAACCGUCUGCCUCAUGUCACGAACAGCAAAGCGACCAAGAGGAGGGUACUCAGAGAAUGUCUCCACAACCAUGGGCUUGGUGGGAACCAUCUUCACCAUACCAGCAUCACCGUUCUUCAGGAACUUGGGCUCCUUCUCGAGCUCCUUGCCAGAUCGUCUGUCAAUCUUGGUAACAAGCUCGGCAAACUUGACAGCAAUGUGUGAGGUGUGGCAGUCCAGCACUGGGGCGUAGCCAUUGCCGAUCUGGCCAGGGUGGUUCAUGAUGAUGACCUGGGAGGUGAAGUUGGCAGCCUCCUUGGCAGGGUCAUCCUUGGAGUUGGAGGCCACGUACCCACGCUUGAGAUCCUUCACAGCAACGUUCUUCACGUUGAAGCCAACAUUGUCACCGGGAAGGGCCUCCUGGAGCGCCUCAUGGUGCAUCUCAACAGACUUCACCUCAGUGGUCAGGCCGCUGGGACCAAAGGUGACAAGCAUACCAGGCUUGAUGACACCAGUCUCUACACGACCAACAGGCACAGUUCCAAUACCACCAAUCUUGUACACAUCCUGAAGGGGGAGACGCAGGGGCUUGUCCGAAGGCCUCUUUGGCUCAUUGAUCAAGUCAAGAGCCUCAAGCAGUGUUGGGCCCUUGUACCAGUCCAGGUUGGUGGACCUCUCAAUCAUGUUGUCGCCCUCGAAACCAGAGAUGGGAACAAAGUGAAUCUUGUCAGGGUUGUAUCCAACCUUCUUGAGGUACGAAGAGACUUCCUUCACAAUCUCAUCAUAGCGGGCCUUCGAGUACUUGGGUGUGGUGGCAUCCAUCUGUACAAAACAAAGCAUUACAAUUAGCCAAAAAGAGAUGUGUCAAACAUCAACAGCAAUAGAUACAAAUGAAAGCAUGUAAACAAGAAGCUCCUAGCAUGUAUCUCACCCUCAUUCACCUUGUUUUACAAGUAAGCUACUCACACUGGAACAGGAAUAAAGCAGGCAAUAGUGUCGAAAAACAAAAAAUAAACUAUCAUCAUGCAAAACAGUGAGGCCAUACCUUG